AUACGGGGGGAGCAAGCGUUGUUCGGAAUUACUGGGCGUAAAGGGCGCGUAGGCGGCCUUGUAAGUCGGGUGUGAAAUGCCGGGGCUCAACUCCGAGCACUGCACCUGAUACUGCUUGGCUAGAGAGAGGUAGAGGCGAGCGGAAUUCCCGGUGUAGCGGUGGAAUGCGUAGAUAUCGGGAAGAACAUCUGCGGCGAAGGCGGCUCGCUGGGCCUCAUCUGACGCUGAAGCGCGAAAGCGUGGGGAGCAAACAGGAUUAGAUACCCCAGUAGUCC
rnacentral:rRNA from 1 species